UCGGGUAGUUAUGUUUAGUACUAUGUGAAUAAUAUUAGUAAUGAACAUAAUUACCUAUAU
rnacentral:precursor_RNA from 1 species